rnacentral:lncRNA from 1 species
GCGGGCGCCUAUAAUCCCAGCUACUCCGGAGGCUGAGGCACGGAAAUCGCUUGAACCCAGGAGGUGGAGGCUGCAGUGAGCUUAGAGUGUGCCACUGCAUUCCAGCCUGGGCGACAGAGAUUCCAUCUAAAAAAAAAAAAACAUCAGUAGUCACCUUUGGAAGUUGCAAGUGCACUAAUUCAUUAUUGAGAAAACCAACCAAGGGAAAGAAAUUAAGCAUUUAUCCUGCCUUUUCUGUAUAAAAUCUAUUUAGGGUAACCAAAUAGUUGAUUCCAGAAAAUAUAUGCAGAAGAAAUGUUAGAAUUAGAAUGAAUUUUUUAAAGGUCUUCACCAUCACCAAUAGAUGCUAAAACCAUAUGUGAAGGGUUGAUGGUGAAUUUAUCGUAGUUGAAUCAGGCUGACAUCAGAAUCCACUGUUCAAUCUUAGCAUUAUGAAAUAGCAAACCUCUACAUCUAACUACCAACUUAUAGGAAAUAUUGGGGAUAGAGAAAAAAUUAAUUUCCACUAUGAAGAAGGAAUUAGCCAAAUCCAGAAUGUGGGGAAUUUUGUAAGACAAACGACCAAGUACCUUUAUUUUUUUAAAUAUAUAUAUUUUUCAAUGUUCCUGCAGAAUUUUUUAUUAUUUUUUGUAGAGACAGGAUUUCACCAUUUUGUCUAGACUGGUGUCAAACUACUGGGCUUGAGCAGUCCACCUGCCUCAGCCUCCUAGAGUGCUGGGAUUAUAGGCAUGAGCCACUGCACCAGGCCUCAACCUAGUCCCUUUAACAAAUAAAUAAGAGAGAUUGUAGAAUAAAAGAUACUUUACAACUUAACCAAAUGUCAUGUGUGGACUUAUUUAGAUCCUGGUGUCCAGAGCAUUGUCCUUCAUGUCCCUGCUUGCAACAUUCCCUGUGGGCCUUUGUGGAUAAAAUCUACAGCUGUGAAGAUGUAUUCUUUCCUGUCUUUUGGCUCAAUUAGGGCUCAGGGCAUUUACCUACACCUCACUUCAAGGCCUACACCUCACUUCAGCUACUGCUAGUAACAAAUAUGCAAGUCUGUACAUUGGGCCAGUUCACAGAGGUUCCCUAGACUCUAAGGAGGGUCACUCACCCAGCCCAUGACCAUACUGUGGCUCUCAAGUCAGCACCCCUGCCUCCAGUUACCAAGGGUGGUUAGGAAAUGAAAUCUCAGAGUAUCUCUCCACCUGGCCACACUGCCUUGCUGUGUUGGUGUUGGUGUGGUUGUGGCUGCACCCCAGGUUAGGAAGGGGCAACCUGGGAGGCAGACCCCUAUCUGGGGAGUGGGAGACAGAGCUGCUACCCUCCUUUUUCUAACAUACACUCCUUCCUGGAUGAAGCUUAGAGAGAGAAAACAGGACCACCAUCGCUUCUCCUGUCUCCCUUCCUUCUUCCCAUCAUUCUCUUGACCACACAAUAAUUUCUUCUUCUUUUUUUUUUUUUUUUUUUUUUGUAUUUUCAGUAGAGAUGGGUUUUCGCCAUGUUAGCCAGGCUGGUCUUGAACUCCCGACCUCAGGUGAUCCGCCCACCUUGGCCUCCCAAAGUGCUGAGUGCUGGGAUUGUAGGCGUGAGCCACGGCGCCUGGCCUUGACCAGAAAAUAUUUUCUUCUGAUUCCCUAUGUUUUCACCUCCUGCUGUGAUAGAGUGACAGAUGUUAUAGGUGGAGACGUGUCUUUCUUACACUACAGAAGAAUUCUGUGAGACAAGUUUUCCAGGCUGGGCUUUCUUUUUUUUUUUUUUUUUUUUUUGAGAUGAAGUCUCACUGUGUUGCCCAGGCUGGACUGCAGUGGCAUAAUCACAGCUCACUGCAGUCUAGACUACCCAAGUUCAAAUAACCCUCCCACCUCAGCCUCCCAAGCAGCUGGGCCUACAGGCAUGUGCCAUCACACCUGUCUAACUUUAUUUUUUGUAGAGUCAGUGUCUCAUUAUGUUUUUCAGGCUGGUCUUGAAGUCCAGGUUCAAGUGAUCCUCCCUUUAUGGCCUCGCAAAGUGCUAGGAUUAUAGGCAUGGGCCACCAUGCCCAGCCAAGCUUUAGAUAUUCUAAUGAAGAAAUGGAGGAAUAUGGCAUAUUCUUUCUCAAUAAUCCUCUUUCCUGUACCUAAUGCUAUAUAUCAUACAGAAGUGGAACGUUACCACAUUUUCAAAAUUCCUCUGUAACAAAUCAUAAUAUCCUCAGCAUACGAACGCCUUGGCCUACCGGGGCAAAAAGCAUGUGCUCAGGAAGGCAAAAAGAAAAAAAAGCACAUUAAUAAUUUUAAUAUUACCCUUAACACACACAUACAUUUAAUUGGAAUUGUAGAAUGCAUAUUGUAAAUUUUAUAUUUUCAAGUAUACAAGUAAUAAAUUACUACACCUUCAUUGAAAAAAAAAAAAAAACCCACCUACUGGUUUUUUUUCUGAGACAGGUAUUGCUCUGUUGCUGAGGCUAGAGUACAGUAGCUUGAUCUCAGCUUACUGGAGGUCCGGACCUCGGGGGUUCAAGUGGUCCUCCCACCUCAGCCUCCAGAGUAGCUGGGGCCAUGGGCAAGCACCACCACACCUGGCUAAUUUUUUGUAUUUUUUGUAGAGACAGGGUUUUUCCAUGUUGCUCAGUCUGGUCUCAAACUCCUGGGCUCAACUGAUCCUCCCAAGUGGGCCUCCCAAAGUGCUGGGAUUACAGGCAUAAGCCACCUCACCCAGCCCUAUCUACUGUUUUAUAACUUACUUUUGCAUUUAAAAACAUAACUAGGCCAGAUGUGGUGGCUCAUGCCUGUAAUCCCA